CCCGCACAAGCGGUGGAGCAUGUGGUUUAAUUCGAUGCAACGCGAAGAACCUUACCUGGACUUGACAUCCCAGGAAUUCCCUGGAAACAGGGAAGUGCCCUUCGGGGAGCCUGGUGACAGGUGCUGCACGGCUGUCGUCAGCUCGUGUCGUGAGAUGUUGGGUUAAGUCCCGCAACGAGCGCAACCCUCGCCUCUAGUUGCCAGCAUUCGGUUGGGCACUCUAGAGGGACUGCCGGCGACAAGUCGGAGGAAGUGGGGAUGACGUCAAAUCAUCAUGCCCCUUAUGACCUGGGCUACACACGUGCUACAAUGGGCGGUACAAAGGGCUGCGAACCCGCGAGGGGGAGCGAAUCCCAAAAAGCCGCUCUCAGUUCGGAUUGCAGGCUGCAACUCGCCUGCAUGAAGCCGGAAUCGCUAGUAAUCGCGGAUCAGCAUGCCGCGGUGAAUACGUUCCCGGGCCUU
rnacentral:rRNA from 1 species